rnacentral:lncRNA from 10 species
UAUAUGAUGACGCCCUUCAUGCCUUCACUCAUUCAUGUAGUCAAUAACUGUCAAUCAGCCUCUAUUGAUAGGUACAGUAGGACAUGCUGGGAAGCCAGUAGUGAACAAAGCAGGCUCUCUGCCCUCACCGAGUUUAUACACUACGAAGAGGACAGGCUUUACUGCAAAAACCAUAAUGGUAAAUGCACAAUUAUACACUUUGACAAGGGAAAAACAAUACUGUGUAUGAAGAAAAAGUACCUGUGACACCCAUACUAUUGUUGUGCCUAUUAACUGAUGAGAACAUCGAGGCACGGCAAAGUCAUACAGCUUAAGUCAUAUUUAAGCAACUGCUUGACUGCUGGACUAUACUGAAGACCACCUGGGCACCAAGGUCAUGAAGACAUUUCGUAAUAAAGUCACUAUGCGUUGCCAGCCUGACACAGGUGAAUUUCGCAGUUGUCUCGGGCAACUAGAGAGUAGCGAUGAGAGGCCAGGC